CUUGUGCUUUGACUCCUGUAACACUCAGCUUAUAAACCUUACUGGCCAUGAGGCUUUGUGAGCUGAAGCAUGCCAAGUCAGGCACGUGUCUUGUGAGGAGGUGAGCUCUGAGGUAUGGCUCUGCUGCUCCUCAUUGUGAGUUUAAUUUCUGGUCUGAAAAAAAAUCUGUCUGUAAGCGACUGCAGGGGAACAAGGUGAGCUGUGUCCAGGAUGGCUUUGUAGUGAAUGAAUGGAGCCAGUCUCAUCUCCGUCUCUGGCGGUGUAACAGUUUGCAGAUAAGGAUAAGGCAACGUGUGUCAUGUACCUUGAUUUUUUUAGUGGAACUUCUGAUGUUGGCUUGCAGGAUUUUCUAAUAAUAAACUGAAAAACCAGUCUAUGUGGUACUGCUUUAGCAGGGUUGCAGAUCUAGUUGUGGAAAAAUGUACUUGGUAUCAGCACUUGUCUGGGGAACUACCUUCAGUCCAUUACUCAUCCACAGUGAAACAGGCCUUGUAAUUACUGUGUUUGAAGAUGAGGUCAAGUUUGAGCUUGUAUGAAUGCACUGCCAGAGAACUGGAAUGCAAAACGGGGAGCUCUGUGGAUAAAAGUAACAGGUGUAGUACUGUAUACUUCAUAAUUGUGGAGUUGAUUGUAUUGCAGGAAAGGAUGGAGGGGCUGCUGUGGGCUGUAAGCUGAAUGAGUAUCAACGGCUUGCUGUUGGAGAGGUGAAUGCCAUGAAGGUCUCUGUGAGUAAAAAAAAACUGCUAAUAAGGCACAGGUGUCCUGCUAUGCUGAGCUGUGCUACAACAGUGUGUCCAGUACUGGGCUCCACGUGAGAGAAAUUUGUAUGAUUUAGAGAAAGAGGUAGAAGUAAUGAUCAGUCUUUGAACACAUGACUUUUACAGAGCCAGAGAGAACAGAAAGCCGCAGACGUGGUUAGUCUUCAAAUAGAUGAAAGGAUGCUGCCGUGAAGAAAGGGACAGUUUGUUCUCUUGUGUCCACUGGGGGUAGGGUGAGGAGCCAUAAGCUAAAAUAACAGCAAGGCAGAUGUAGGUUACAGUGAAAAAAUGUCCCGUGAUUCUUCUGAGCCAGUCGAGCAGUGUUGGACUGACUGGGCAAGGUAUGGGCUGUUCUUACAGGUUUUAAGAAUAGAUCAGACAAAUAUUUCUCACGGUGGGUGAAGUGCAGUAUAAGAGCUUGCGUUCAGGAAGGAGACUUUGCUUAAUGGGCUCCUAACCCAGUGUUACUGUGGUUCUGUAGCCCUGAGAUAUGUAAUCAUUGCAGCCCUUGUUGGCUUAACGAUAAAACUAGUUCAGCUGCACAGAUUAAAGAUGCUCAACUGGGCCAAGUGACAUUACGUAACGGGAAUGAAAUUGCGUUUAAGCAUGGCUUUAUGUUUUCAAAAUGAUUUUCACCAGAUGGGGUGAAAGUAUCUAAAUGAGGAGCUCUGCAGAGCUUUUAAGCAUUAAAGGCUAAGGCCUCAUCUUCAGCAUAGCUUUCCAGAGAGUGUCCCACCUUUGUUCCUGUGGUAUUGCUGAUGCAAUUAAACUCUGGUAAUCCAGAAAGGAUGCCAGUGUUUUUGAGAUUUAAAGCCUUGCAAGCCAAAUCAAAAUGAUUUUAAUAAAAGUAGUUUAGGUCAAUACAACCUUAAGAUAUAUCUGGGAGGGGGGGAAAAAAAGAAGAGCUGGGAUAUUGUUUUCAUUCUUUUUUUUAACAGCAAGGGCACACAGUUGGUAACAGCUACUCAGAAAGUGGGUUGCAAUAUAUACAAACAGGUAUUUGCAGAUCAUAGUGCUUAGUUUGAGAAGCCUUCUAGAAGUGUGUUAUUCACCCCAGUAUCUGAAAGCAGCAAUUUCUGGCACUGAAUGUUAUAUCGCAUCUGAUGCUUAACAGGGGGAUGAGAAAGGACAUUUUUUCCUAAUUGAAUUCUCUGCCUUUCUAGACCUGCCAUUUAGAUCACAGUUUAUCAAGAUCGAUUUUCAUCAGGAAUACUCUUGAAUUAUGAGGAGUGCUUUCCUUAAGGUCAAUUGGAGUCACCGAUGGAAACAACUGCAAAUUCGGGAAUUUUAAGCUUGAAAAGUCAAUGUAUCUAAUUGUCCUAUUUUGUUUUUGUUGUGUUUUUUUUUUUGGGGGGGGGUUGUUUGUUUGUUUGUUUGUUUGCAACUUAAUACAAUGUUAUGCGUGACAACUGUUAGAACUUCACAUAAUUUGUGCAACUGUUGUAAUACAAAAUAAGAAGGAAGGCAGACUGCUUGCAUAUUGAUCAGAUUCACUGAGUGGUCUUCUUGCAUACUGGCUUUCCAGAUGAUGAUAAGCUCCAUGCUGACUGCUUUCUGCCCCUUGUGUUGGGAGCCUCCAUGCUCAAGCUGGUAGGUCUGGGGGCUGGGGCUCCAAGUGUCCACCUUUAGAGCUAAGUGUCCAGUGUGCAAUGCUCAGCUGUGCCUGCCCUGCUGUUAGCCUGCCUUCCUGAGAUUCUAUGCUUGAAUGCGUUUGUUGCAGUUAUCCAAGCAGGGCUUGGUGAAUAACAGCAAGGUGAUGGUGUUUGGAUGGUGGUAGUGUUGCAGAAAAUCAGCUCCACUAGAAAAGAAAUAGUGGCAGUAUUUAUAGUGGCUUUUUCUUUUUAGGUUGACAGUGAAACUGUACACAGGUGUUUUAAACACUGUCUCAUUCGAGACAUUCACUAGGAGCCAGUCCUGCUAUUUCCUGAGCAUGUCUUCCACAACCAGCAAAAUCUCACAGUCAUGCAGCCUGUGCUCUGCUGCCACAGGAGCUGUGCCCACCUCCCAGGCUGUCAGUUUGCUUCUUCUGUGCUUCUCCAUCAUCCUGUUGCAGCACCUCCUGACGUCAGGUUUGAGCAGCAUCCUGGUACACUGUUUUGCUGUCACACUGUGAACAAUCUCAGUUUGUUUUUUUUUCUGUACAAUAACCUUUAUUAAGACUUUGCAUUGCAACUAUUAUAAAGAGGCAUUAUUUUCAAGAGAUCCCACCUUCUAUCUUAAAGUCCCAGACCUGUCAGUGCAGGUAUUUCUCAAGUACUGAUGGUGUCUUCUGUCACUCAAGGUGUACUUGAGAACCAUACUUUCAGUUGCUGAGAUCUCAUACAGAUAGUUCUUCCAUCUGCAUGUUGUUGCAUGCUUUCUGUCCUCUAGUUUCUGUCCUGUGUAGCCGUCUUCGUUAUCUCAAGCCUGUUAGUGCAGUUUUGCUAUGUACCAUGCCCCCCAGAUUAGAUAGGCUUUUCCUUAAGAGAGAUUCUUCCUGUACAGUUGUGGUGCCCUUGAGAAGAUGCCCUUAUUGAUCAUCCCUUUUGGAAGCAUUAGGAUGCUGCUUAUUAGCCCUUUCUGUUUUACAUUGGUGGAAACCCCCCUGUAGCAACCAUUUGCCAUUUCAGAACUUGUCUCCGUGCACAAACAGGUUUGUGGAGUACCUAUGUUGAGAACACACCUGUUUUCCUCAUCUCUUUUCCACACCCUUUUCUGCUCUAGUAAGUUCAUGGCAGAUGGCUUCAAACACGAGCUUCAACUUCAGUAGCUGUUCCUGAGCCACUGACAUGGAGGAAGAGGAGUUUGGCACUUGGGUAUCUCUCCAGAAGCGAGCCCUUUGCUGGCUGAGGAUUCCUGGUGUGCAGUUAGAGCUGAUUUGGCCGUUCCACCCCUUUCUUCUGUCAUCUAGUUUGUGUAUGGUCUUCCUGUACUUGGACAGGCUGUGGUCAUCCUCCUAUUCCUGGACCAGCAAAUAUUUAACAAGAGAAGUGUUUGCGCUGGAAAAAAGUGUCUUAGGAUAUGUCUGAUGUGAUCCUUCAGCAGAUCAGCAAGAUACAGUUAUGUGAUGAAGCAGGAGAUAUAAACAGCUGCUUCAAUUCUCAAUGUUUUCAGUUCUGCAGCUUCUCCAGCCGUUCUAGUUCUGCAUGCUGGUUGGUUUUGUUGUCAUCUUUUAUGGAAGAUCACCUCCUUUAGAGGCUUCUUGUGCAGACCGAAAAUUCUGCAGAAGAACAUCGUGUUUCUGUUUGGAGGACAGCUCUGUAUCCAUUACUUAAUCUGAAAAGGAACAGCAGGAUACACAAUCACAGAAGGGAUUUGAAAUGUUGAUGUGAGGAUAAGAAAAAGAAAUAGGAAGAUGGUAUCUACCCCAGGAGUUUGGAGAUGCUCGUGCUCUUGAGUUUUGUUGCAACACAAAAAUAAAGGGUAAGUCCUGCCACUGCUGAUAGUUCACUUUGCAAGUUCUCCUUUGUGGGUGUAGAUCAGCUGCUGAUACCAGUAGCUUGUUAUUGCUGUAUUCAAGCACCAUGAGAGUUGAUUGAUAUGUUUUGCUCAGGGUGCAGAGAGCUGAAAUUCCCUUGUGCUCCAGUGGACUGGGAGCAUCCUACGUGCAUCUUUUCUGCCCAGUCUGGCUUUCCUCAAGCGCGCGUUGUGGUCCUGCUCCUGACGCAGCUCUUUUGCCACGCAGGAGGCUUCUGAGGAAGGCUUUGAUGUCCACCCUUCAGUGGAAAAAUGUGACUUGGGGGCUUGCAGUGGAUGGAAGAUGAAGAUAUUGUCUGAAGGAGUUUGGGAAGGCACCCACUGCUCUCUGGGCAUUCUGUGCUCCUUCCAGUUCUGUCAGUAGUGUUCUGAGGAGUUGUUCCUGCAGGUUUUCUCAUGCUGGCUGAGGGGUCAGGAAACACAAGCAGUCUUUUUGCCUCUGGAGCUGGGAUUCGAGGUUCUCCAUUGGGCUUUGGGUGCAUGUGUGCAAACAAAGAGCAGCGCCCACUCCCUGAUCAGCUGUUCUUAGGAUCCUGAUUGCAAGACAAUCACAGUGUUGUGCUGAUGGAUCUUAAGGCAGCGGGAUGGAGCACACAGAGGAAUGAGGCUGUGGUGUUUCCCAUUUUCACUGUCCAUUUCAGCUUAUAGAAAUAAUGAUCUGAAGACAAUAUAAAAUAAAAAUCAAGGCAUUGUGAGUCUUUGCAGAGGGCGAUGGGCUGGCACCUGGAGGAAGGCAACCUGCCUUAGAGGUGGCUCGAUUUGCUCACAAAUACAUGGAAAUUUGGCCUGUUUGAUAAAGACCAACUGUGCCAUGGGCACCAGCUGCGCCGUGGGACAUCUCGGCCUGAUGUUUUCCUUGGGUGAGCAAAUACAGUGUUCACAUCUGACACCACCAUGACCAAAACAUUGGUCAUUGCAGGGGGUGCUUCCCAAGGCAAAGGGCACUCAGCAAAUACAGCUGUGGAUGUCCAGAAGAAGCAGAUGCCUCAGCAAACCAGCACGGCCCCGGAGGCUGGAACUGCAUGCUGGGCUGAAGGCGAGGGAACUAAUUUUAACUGCUGAGCAGCAUCCUUCCUGCCAACCACGGAGGGAUUAGAGUAACAGUUCUUGAAAUUAUUUAAAAAUAACAUCAGACUUAAUCAUAGCUAUUUAUUAUUAAAUCCAUUAUCCUCUGUCAGCUAGGGGACACUGAUUCAUUCAGCUGUGGAAGUUCUUAAACCUCUUAUGGCCAAAAAUCUUAAGGCACUUUUUUUCCUAAUGGGGUCCCAGUAGCCAUUAUUCCUUCAGCUCCUGAAUCUGUAACUGCAGGAAUUGAGACAGAAAAUCUGACAGUGAAUAUGGGGGUGGGGAACAAUGGAGCAAUGGAGAAACAUAUGUACCCAAGUUCUGCAUGCUGCUCCAGGUGGGCAGGAUAUCAGCACGCCGCUUCUUUGCCCCAUUUCCUGAGGCUGAAAUUCACGGCUCUAUGGGAAGAAAGGAAAGGAGGAGAGGUGGAAUCUCAGAGCUUCCUAUUGCCCCACUAUGGGUGUUCCAGCAGAUUGUCCUCCGGACACACAGAGGGAAUACCUGCAGACAGUGCUGACUGCCCAUGCCCAGACCUUCCUCCUCUGGGGCCUCUCUGCAAGUUGGGGCUGAUCCAGCCUAGAGUUAUAGGAUCACAGAAUCAUAGCAUUGUGAAGGCUGGAGAAGACCACUAAGAUCACCAGGCCCAACCUAAGCACUGCUGCACGUUGCACACCAGAGGACAGGGCAGUGCCCACGAGUGAAUCAAUGCAUCCCAUGACCUUCUCUAAGAGAACUGCUGGCAAUCCUCACUCCCAGAUGCAAAGCUUGCAGUAAUUGCUUACAAAAGCCCCAAACCACAACGUGCUGUGGAUGCUCUGCCUCCAAAUGAAUUCCCUGCAUUUCUGUUUUGUUUUUUUUUCUUUUCCCCCAUUCAUUAAACAGAAGGGGAUAUCGAUCUGUGGCUGCCACAAAUCUGCCCUCACACAGAGCUCAGGGGGCCUGCAGGUGCUCUGGAAACUGCAAUAAAUAGUGGUGGGAGGAUUACUGGCGGCGGUUGCAGAGAGCACAGUGAUUCUCAGAGAACAGUGCAGCCACC